rnacentral:rRNA from 1 species
CCUACGGGUGGCUGCAGUGAGGAAUAUUGGUCAAUGGACGAGAGUCUGAACCAGCCAAGUAGCGUGAAGGAUGACUGCCCUACGGGUUGUAAACUUCUUUUAUAUGGGAAUAAAGUGUGGCACGUGUGCGUUUUUGUAUGUACCAUAUGAAUAAGGAUCGGCUAACUCCGUGCCAGCAGCCGCGGUAAUACGGAGGAUCCGAGCGUUAUCCGGAUUUAUUGGGUUUAAAGGGAGCGUAGGUGGGUUGUUAAGUCAGUUGUGAAAGUUUGCGGCUCAACCGUAAAAUUGCAAUUGAUACGGGCAGUCUUGAGUACAGGAGAGGUAAGCGGAAUUCGUGGUGUAGCGGUGAAAUGCUUAGAUAUUACGAAGAACUCCGAUUGCGAAGGCAGCUUACUGGACUGCAACUGACAUUGAGGCUCGAAAGUGUGGGUAUCAAACAGGAUUAGAUACCCGAGUAGUG